UCUAAAGACAGAUUCGGGGAUAACGCCGGAGAGGUUAUUCUUGGAAACGUCCACUUCAGAAACGUUUGGAAUUUUUCCGAGUUGAGAAGGUAUGGUGCCAUUUAUGAAGUUAUGGCUUAAAUCAAGUUGUCUCAGAUGUAUAAGGUUGCCUAUCUCCGAUGGAAUGCUUCCGCUUAAACUGUUGUGGUUUACUGCCAAGUUCUGUAACUGCGAGCAAUUCAUGAGUUCUGGAGGAAUGGAGCUGUUGAGCUGAUUAUAACCAAGAUUCAAAGAGGUGAGGUUGGUUAAAUAACCAAUUGUUGGAGGAAUGGGUCCAAUUAGGUUGUUCCUAUCAAGAGACAGAGAAUCAAGAUACUUCAGAUUUCCGACUUCUCGAGGCAGCAGACCACUUAGUUGGUUUGAAGAAAGAUCUAGAGAUGUUAAGUAGGUUAAAUUUCCUAUGGUCGGUGGAAUUGGACCAUCAAGUCUGUUGUGAGACAAGCGCAACUCAUCCAACAAGUUUAAAAAACCAAUGGUCGAAGGAAUAGGUCCAGUGAGAUUGUUCCUAUUUAGAAGCAGAGAAUCAAGAUUCUUCAGAUUUCCAACUUCUUUAGGCAGUGGACCAACAAGAUUGUUGUAAGCCAAGUACAAAGUACUUAACUGAUUUAAAUGAUAAAGCGUUGAAGGAAUAGGCCCAGUUAGAUUGUUAUUAUCCAGAAACAGAGACACAAGAUUCUUCAGAUUUCCAACUUCUUGAGGCAGCCGACCACUAAGUUGGUUUAAAGAAAGGUCCAAAUGUGUCAAGUUAGUUAAAUUACCUAUGGUCGAUGGAAUUAGACCAUCCAGUUUGUUGCCCUGCAACCUCAGGUCAUAAAGAUCCUUCAAAUUCCCAAAUUCUAAUGGGAUAGAACCAUUGAGAAUGUUAUAAGACAGAUUCAGUUCGAGAAGAUCCCUCAAACUCCCGAUCUCUGAAGGGAUAGUACCUAUCAUAUAUAUAUAUAUACAUGCAAAUGAUUAAUUAAUGAUAAAUGAGCAAUAUUAUCCAGUACCGAUAGGAAAUUAUUGUAUAUGCAAUGAAAUUAUAUAUAAUAGUUACCUGUAAGACGGUUAUAGGACAGGUCAAGCACUUUGAGUCUUGAAAGAGCACCAAUUUCUGAUGGUAUCCUUCCGGAGAGAAAACGAGUGCCCCAAAUUCUGAAAGUUACGAGGUUGGGAAAGCAAGUGAAGUUGAGUUGGCUAAGCUCUGCUGCGUUGCCAUUAUUAUCCAUCUCGUCAGAACUUAUCUCAACUAUGCUUCCUGCUGAAUUGCAAGUGAUUCCCAUCCACUUGCAAUGAUCUGAAGUAUAGUUGGCCGUCGCCCGACUGCUAUUCCACCAGCCUGAAUUAAGUAAAGCUUCCCUUUCUAACUGUAAGGCUGACGAUGCAUCAGAUGCUGUUAGAACUGCAUUAUCAGUUAUAACAGGAACAAUAAUACUGCUUAUAAAAGUUAUAAUGACCACCAAUUUUGAAAUGGAGAAAUCCGGUGCCAUUUUUGUAAGUUUUUGGUUGAUUAGAUUCAGCGGGUGCAUGCCUGCUUUUAUAACUAAACAUUAAGUUUGACAGCAACACUCAAUCAUUUUUAGCCCGCGUUGAGCUUUCUCCCUCAUCGUCAAAAUUGGCAUGCGCGUUAUCAAACACAAGAGUCAGUUGAGUUAAUGUCUUUUUAGGCCACUAAUUCCUAUUUUUAAUUAAUUUCGCAAAGUAAAGGCUACAUGUGAUUCAUAUUCUAGCAACUUUCUAUUUCUUUCUUUACUUUUUAGUCCACUUUCCAUUCUCCCAAUUACUUUUCUAGAAUGGAGGAUUAUAUAUAUUCUAGUAACUUUCUUUUUCUUUCUUUUCCUUUUGGUACAUACUUUAUGCCCGAAUUUAGACCCCGACCGAAUUCCACCAAAUUGUUUUUGUUCUUUUCUUUUUUGUAAUUUUUUUUUUCGCCUUUAUAUGGGUUCAUUUGGGAUUUAUGUUCGGGGCGUAUAGGCAUAGCAUUGCUCUUUACUUUGUGUCCACUUUCCUUCAUCAUCAAAAUAUUCGAUAAUGUCGGGAAAUAUUAAAAUUUGUUCUUAAUUAACAAAGAAUUAAGCCGACUACCAUAUUUCGCCAAAAGUCAAAGGAAAAAUUUCCAUUCUCCGGUACAACAUAUUCUAUAAUUUAUAGUAAUUGUCUAUUUGGUAAUGCGAACGGUUAUUUACACUAAGCAAUAUUUUGAAUAUUUUGAGACCCAAGUCAUACUCAAUGCUAAAAAUAAAAUAAAUAUUUUUUCUUCGUACAGAAAAAAAUAUAAAUUACCAACAUGUGAUAGGAGUUCAUCGAUACUUAUAUCAUUAUCAUCAUCCAAACCUAUAUUUGCAUCGUCAAUUUGUCGAUCUAGAAAUGAGACUAGUACCUAUGUGCUUAAUAAAAAAAAUUAUUAAAAAAAUAUUACCUUUCAAGUAAUACAUUAUUUUGUUGUGUAUUAUAUACUAAAUCAAUGAUGUAUUCUAAAUAGAUGUUCACCCUCAAGUGGUAUCAGAUAUCUACAUCUAAAAUGAUGUGUCUUAAAAUUUAAUGAGAAAAAUAUACAUAUAUUCUAAGGUUUGGGGAAAUAACAUGCAUGAACCUUACCAUAUAAUAUAACUUUAUGAUCGCAUUUUGGUGGAUAUUAUGUAAUUCAUUAACUUUGUUGUCUAUUAUAUACUAUAUUAAUGAUGAAUUCUAACUAGAUGAAAUUCACUCCCAAGUAGUGUCUGAUAUGGCCAUAUCCAUGUGUCCUAUAACUUUACUGAAACAAAUUUUGGGGAAUUUAAGAAUCUUUUUCUUUUUAUAUUUAGGAAAAUUAAUAAUUCGAAGUAGCUGCCAUUUUAGUUGUGUUUAAAAUUGAUUGUCUUAAAAAUUUGGAAAAUAUAUGGGAAAAUUUUCAAAAUGAUAAAAGGGAUAAUGUAGACUGACACGUUUAAACAUGUGAACUCAUUAGUCGCCAAUUAUUUGAAACGCACGGCCAGGGGAUGCCGGGUGAUUAAACACGUGAGUAGAAAACUUUUCAGGUCACUGGCUUUUUCUGAGCCGACCACAAAUUAAAGCAAAAUUGGAGUCAAGGUCUUGCAGACAAGGAAAAGAAGACGUGUGUGUACUGCGAGUUCACAUUUGAGGGUUGACUGACAAAUUUGUCCCUUGUCAAGCUCGUCAAAGAAGCACCUAUAAAUUUCACUUGAGAAUAUAUAUAUUUUAUAUUUAUCCAAAGUGAAGGAUUUAAUUAAACAAAAUUCAGUCUCACGAAUGUUAAUAUACCGAAAAAAGUUAUACAAAAACCACUAUCAAAAUUUUGGAUAAUCUUGAGAAAUUUUAAAAUUUGUUCUUAAUUAACAAAGAAUUACGCCCAAUACCAUAUUUCGCCAAAUCUCAAAGGAAAAUUUUCCACUUUUCCGGUACAAUAUUUUCUAUAAUUUACGGUAAUUAUUAAUUGGUAAUGCCAAUGGUUUUUUACACUAAACAAUAUUUUCAGACCCAAGUCAUACACAAUGCUAAAACCAAAGUAAAUAUUUUUUUUUCAUUUGUACAGAAAAAAUAUAAAUUACCAAGUUCAUCAAUACUUAUUUCAUUUAUCAUCAUCCGAAUCUAUAUUUGCAUCAUCAAUUGUCGAUCUACAAAAGAGAAAUCAAAGAUGUUAAAAAUAUUUCUAAUAAUAAGAUAAAAAUUAAAUAUAAAGACUAGUACCUAGGUGUUUGAAUUAAAAAUAAUAAUCAUUAAAAAAUAUUACCUUUCAAGUAGUACAUAAUUUUAUUGUGUAUUAUAUACUACGUUAAUGAUGUAUUCCAAAUAGAUGAAACUCAUUCCCAAGUUGUGUCCAAUAUGGUGAUAUCCUUGUGUCUUACAAUUCCCAUAGGAUGCUAGAGCCAUAUGGAAGCAUAUAGAAGAUUGAUUGGUCGUGAUUAUUAACACUUUUGAAGGUUUAUUCUAUAUACAUGAUCAGCUGAACUUGUUCUCUUUAAUUUUCAUAAAUGCAUUGACACAGUUUUUACUUUUUGAUCAUUGGAUAUCCCUGACUUUAAGUUCAUCGAAUUCUAAACUAGGGAAUGCUGUUUGACUUACAACCAUAAUAGUUAGGAAGGUUAUAACUAGAUGGUCACAAUGGUUUUCAAUCACCGAUUGCUUUCUUACGGAACAGAAAAGAAAGGAAAGAUCAUAACUUCUCCCUCACCACCUUGUGUUAAUUGUCACUACUUAUUGUGGUUUAUUUUAUUUUUCAAAUCACAUUUGGUGACGGUUUCCAAUUCCACCAGCCGCAGAAAUCAAGUUGUAAUUCUAUUGUUUACAGAAUUUCAUUUCUGUUUACCAUUCAUCCUUGUAAUAUCAUAACAAGCAAUGUCAUACUUUUUACUUUUCAUAUUCUCAAAGUUCUUCAAAUCUUUUUAUUUCAAAUUGAAUGAAACAUUAAUUCUCAUUGGAUAAUCAACAUAUACUUGUCUUAGAGUCCUCAGGUGGACAACUUUUGGGGUUUUGGGUCCUCAUUUGUUGUACUAGUUGGUUCUUGAGGUAAAUAAAUCCAGGAUUCCUGAUAUUGAACAUUCAAUUUUCAUGUCUGAAACUUCCAAUAUCCAAAUUCACUCAUGCAAUACAACUACUCUAUUUUAAAUCAACUAGAUGGUUUCAGAUACAGAUUUUGUAUUUCCAACAUAAAAAAUCAUGCAAGCUUUUGAUACCCAAAAGACCAUGAUUGGAUUUUUUCUUCUCCCCUCCUCUCCCCUGUAUUGUCAAGUCAUCCAUAAAUUUUCUGCAAUGUCAGACUGUGCAAAAGGUAAUUUUAUCAGUGUAAGUGCUUGCAUUGUUCAUUUCUUCAGACAGCCAUUUACUGUGUCCAACAAUUCAUGCUGUGUUCACUAAUUAAAGCAACUACGGGUCAAGGUCAUUUUAAGUCGGGAAAAUGACUAGGGUGGUGUGAAUUCACACAUGAAACUUAAUUGGCAUAUUUGUCACUCGGCAAGCUCAAUGGACCCCUUUCAAAUUCACUUUAGAAUCUUUAUUUAUUCUUUAACCAAAGAUAAGGAUUUAAAUACAAAAAAUUCAGCCUCACGAAAGUUAUACAAAAAGCUAUUAAUGAAAUACAUUCAAGAUUAACAAUCACAUUGAUCAAUCAAAUACAUGCAUUGUUUCAUAAGUUCUGAUAUGGAAAUUUCUUCAACAACAGGUUUUCCCAAUGGUGAUUUCCCUGUGAGAAAUUCUUGAGAUACGCGUUGCAUGGUAGGUCGAGACUUGGGUUUUGACUGCAAGCAUGCAAAUGCAACUAUUGAAACAAGAAUAAUAACCUGAACAACCUUUUGAUCAAGUGGAGAUGGCAGACGUUGGUCUAAAAUAUCUAUCAACCUAAUCUUUCGUUCAGAUGAUGACGAUAAAGAUGAAAGAAGAUCUCCUGGAUGACUUCCCAUUAAUACUUCUAGUGCCACCACUCCAAAGCUAUAAACAUCACAUUUCUCUGUCACAGCCAUGGUGUAUGCAAGUUCUACAACAAAAUAGAACCCAUUGUAGAAUUUCUUUGCACAAGCAAAAAACAAAAUAUAUAUAUAUUUGAUUCACUGUUUCUGGAAGCUUCUGCAGCAAGAUAUUUAAGAGAUAUCUAAUUGAUUUUUAAAUACAUUCAAUGUGUAAACAUGAGUAAGAAGCAUGAAAAGAAUAGCUAAAGUUUACCUGGAGCAAUAUAUCCAUAUGUCCCCACCACUAGAGUUCUGUUGGAGGAAUCUGGAUGCAGGAGCCUAGCCAAACCAAAAUCAGCAACAAAUGCCUCUAGGUUUGAGUUAAGUAGAAUGUUAUUGCUGGAUAUGUCGCGGUGAACAAUUGAUGGCUUGCAGUCAUAAUGCAGGUAAGACAAAGCAUGAGCCAUACUCUUUACAAUGUUCACUCUCUUUGUCCAAUCCAGCUCAACAGCUUCAACGUCAUUGCGUAACACACAGAACAAGCUUCCCCGCUCCAUGUACUCAUAGAUCAAAAACAUGCACUUGUUGUGCAAACAAAAACCAUAAAGCUUCACUAUAUUACGAUGCCGUAUUUGGGAGAGUAGACGAGCUUCAGUUUGGAAACUUUCCAGGAAAGCUGGCUCCUCUGUCUCCGAACGGUGAAGUUUCUUCAAAGCGACUACUCUUCCACUGGACAAUUGUGCUCUGUAAACACUGCCAUAACCUCCGGUUCCAAUGCAAUAUUUGAUGUGGAAAUCCUCUGUCGCUUGAAUCAUCUCUUCAAAUGUAAUUCUACCAUCAUAAUUCCAUAUGGAGAACUCAUUAGCCCCCUCGGUCAUUUCUCGGGUAUUAGGAUUAAAUUUCUUAUCCUUUCGUCUAUGGACAAACAAGAUACCAAAAAUUAAGAUUGCGAAAAUAAAUGCCACCAUAGCGAGAAUGAUUGUGACCAAGCGAGUGACGAUCUUUUGCUGCUUCCCUUUGUUGCCCUUAAACUGUUUUGCUUGGGGUGGCGGUGCAUUUUCUGAACCAGUUGAGUUUUCUAACUCUAGAUUAUUUUCUGACACUAUCAAUUUGGGAAUUCUUCUGACAGAUGCAGGGAUAACGCCGGAGAGGUUAUUCUUGGAAAGAUCCACGGCAGAAAUGUUUGGAAUUUUUCCGAGUUGUGAAGGUAUCGUGCCAUUUAUGAAGUUACGGCUUAAAUCAAGUUGUCUCAAAAAUAUAAGGUUGCCUAUCUCCGAUGGAAUGCUUCCGCUUAAACUGUUGUGGCUUAAUACCAAGUUCAGUAACUGCGAGCAAUUCAUGAGUUCUGGAGGAAUGGAGCUGCUGAGCUGAUUAUAACCAAGAUUUAAAGAGGUGAGGUUGGUUAAAUAACCAAUUGUUGGAGGAAUGGGUCCAAUUAGAUUGUUCCCGUCAAGGGACAGAGAAUCAAGAUACUUCAGAUUUCCAACUUCCCGAGGCAGCAGACCACUAAGUUGGUUUGAAGAAAGAUCCAGAGAU
rnacentral:lncRNA from 1 species